UACGGGGGAUGCAAGCGUUAUCCGGAAUUAUUGGGCGUAAAGCGCCUGUAGGUUGUUUAGUAAGUUUGUUGUUAAAGAUUAGGGCUUAACCCUAAAAAAGCAAUGGAAACUACUAGACUUGAGUAUAGCAGGGGUAGAGGGAAUUUCUAGUGUAGUGGUGAAAUGCGUAGAUAUUAGAAAGAACACCGGUGGCGAAAGCGCUCUACUGGACUAUUACUGACACUCAGAGGCGAAAGCUAGGGGAGCAAAAGGGAUUAGAUACCCCUGUAGUCCUAGCCGUAAACGAUGGAUACUAGAUGUUGUGCAAAUUGUACAGUAUCGUAGCGAACGCGUUAAGUAUCCCGCCUGGGGAGUACGCUCGCAAGAGUG
rnacentral:rRNA from 1 species